AGCAAUUAUACCGUGAAACUGCGAAUGGCUCAUUAAAUCAGUUAUCGUUUAUUUGAUAGUACCUUACUACUUGGAUAACCGUGGUAAUUCUAGAGCUAAUACAUGCUAAAAACCCCGACUCCGGAAGGGGUGUAUUUAUUAGAUAAAAAGCCAAUGCCCUUUGGGGCUCUUUGGUGAUUCAUAGUAACUUAACGGAUCGCAUGGCCUUGCGCCGGCGACGGUUCAUUCAAAUUUCUGCCCUAUCAACUUUCGAUGGUAAGGUAUUGGCUUACCAUGGUUUCAACGGGUAACGGGGAAUUAGGGUUCGAUUCCGGAGAGGGAGCCUGAGAAACGGCUACCACAUCCAAGGAAGGCAGCAGGCGCGCAAAUUACCCAAUCCCGACACGGGGAGGUAGUGACAAUAAAUACUGAUACAGGGCUCUUUUGGGUCUUGUAAUCGGAAUGAGUACAAUUUAAACCCCUUAACGAGGAACAAUUGGAGGGCAAGUCUGGUGCCAGCAGCCGCGGUAAUUCCAGCUCCAAUAGCGUAUAUUAAAGUUGUUGCAGUUAAAAAGCUCGUAGUUGAACCUUGGGCCUGGCUGGCUGGUCCGCCUCACCGCGUGUACUGGUCCGGCCGGGCCUUUCCUUCUGGAGAGCCCCAUGCCCUUCACUGGGUGUGUGGGGGAACCAGGACUUUUACUGUGAAAAAAUUAGAGUGUUCAAAGCAGGCCUUUGCUCGAAUACGUUAGCAUGGAAUAAUAGAAUAGGACGUGCGGUCCUAUUUUGUUGGUUUCUAGGACCGCCGUAAUGAUUAAUAGGGAUAGUCGGGGGCAUCAGUAUUCAAUUGUCAGAGGUGAAAUUCUUGGAUUUAUUGAAGACUAACUACUGCGAAAGCAUUUGCCAAGGAUGUUUUCAUUAAUCAGUGAACGAAAGUUAGGGGAUCGAAGACGAUCAGAUACCGUCGUAGUCUUAACCGUAAACUAUGCCGACUAGGGAUCGGGCGAUGUUUCUAUUUUGACUCGCUCGGCACCUUACGAGAAAUCAAAGUU
rnacentral:rRNA from 1 species